AGACCGGCGCACGGGUGAGUAACGCGUAUGCAACCUACCUUAUACAGGGGAAUAGCCCGAAGAAAUUCGGAUUAAUGCUCCAUGGUUUAUCGAUAUGGCAUCGUAUUGAUAAUAAAGAUUUAUCGGUAUAAGAUGGGCAUGCGUAUCAUUAGCUAGUUGGUGUGGUAACGGCAUACCAAGGCAACGAUGAUUAGGGGUCCUGAGAGGGAGAUCCCCCACACUGGUACUGAGACACGGACCAGACUCCUACGGGAGGCAGCAGUGAGGAAUAUUGGUCAAUGGAGGCAACUCUGAACCAGCCAUGCCGCGUGCAGGAUGACGGUCCUAUGGAUUGUAAACUGCUUUUGUACAGGAAGAAACCUCCCUACGAGUAGGGACUUGACGGUACUGUAAGAAUAAGGAUCGGCUAACUCCGUGCCAGCAGCCGCGGUAAUACGGAGGAUCCGAGCGUUAUCCGGAAUUAUUGGGUUUAAAGGGUUCGUAGGCGGCUUUAUAAGUCAGUGGUGAAAUUUCCUAGCUUAACUAGGACACUGCCAUUGAUACUGCAUAGCUUGAAUAGUAUGGAAGUAACUAGAAUAUGUAGUGUAGCGGUGAAAUGCUUAGAUAUUACAUGGAAUACCAAUUGCGAAGGCAGGUUACUACGUAUUUAUUGACGCUGAUGAACGAAAGCGUGGGGAGCGAACAGGAUUAGAUACCCUGGUAGUCCACGCCGUAAACGAUGGAUACUAGCUGUUCGGUUUUCGGACUGAGUGGCUAAGCGAAAGUGAUAAGUAUCCCACCUGGGGAGUACGUUCGCAAGAAUGAAACUCAAAGGAAUUGACGGGGGCCCGCACAAGCGGUGGAGCAUGUGGUUUAAUUCGAUGAUACGCGAGGAACCUUACCAGGGCUUAAAUGUAGAUUGACAGAUUUGGAAACAGAUUUUUCUUCGGACAAUUUACAAGGUGCUGCAUGGUUGUCGUCAGCUCGUGCCGUGAGGUGUCAGGUUAAGUCCUAUAACGAGCGCAACCCCUAUUGUUAGUUACCAGCGCGUACUGGCGGGGACUCUAGCAAGACUGCCGGUGCAAACCGUGAGGAAGGUGGGGAUGACGUCAAAUCAUCACGGCCCUUACGUCCUGGGCUACACACGUGCUACAAUGGCAAGUACAGAAAGCAGCUACCUGGCAACAGGAUGCGAAUCUCCAAAGCUUGUCUCAGUUCGGAUUGGAGUCUGCAACUCGACUCUAUGAAGCUGGAAUCGCUAGUAAUCGGAUAUCAGCCAUGAUCCGGUGAAUACGUUCCCGGGCCUUGUACACACCGCCCGUCAAGCCAUGGAAGCUGGGGGUACCUGAAGUCGGUGAC
rnacentral:rRNA from 1 species